CCGGGCAGAGGGAGCACGGUACAUUCUAGAAGCUGCCAGAAGGCCAGUGGCUGGAAGACAGCAUGAAGGGGAGCUGGCGGGAGGCGAGGUCACAUCGGGAAGCCCGGGGUGUGUAGGCCGCUGCUUGGAUUUCAUUCUGAGCAGUGGGAGUGAGGCGUCUAGACCCGCAGCAGGGGCGGGUGUGAGGUUCGCACCUGCGGAGAGGACGCUCUGGCCGUGGGAGGCCCGGCCAGGGGCGGGCGCGGGCGGAGGCAGGCAGGGGGUUCCUGCGGCUGCUGCAGGGUGAGCGCAGAGAAGCAGAUGACUCCUCCACGCCUGGGCUGGAGCCGCCCCUGGAGAAUCAGACCAGUGGCGCGGGCAGUCGGGCCCUGACCACUGACCGAGGGUGGCCGAUGGCCGUGAGCGAUCCCUGCGCCCGUUUCCUGAGCCAGGUGCUGCGAGUGAUGAGGAAAUUGCAAUUCAGAAGGCUUAAGUGACUUGCCACAGCCACACCGUCUGUCCAUGGCAGAGCUGGGUUUGGAGCCCAGGUCUGGGGCUGCCCUUUGCAACGGACAGUGCCCUUCAGACUUGGAAGCAAUUCUCUCCGGAGGUGCCGGGCUCCCGGUGGCUGGCGGAGUGCCAGCAGAGGCCAGCGCUGACCUGUGGGGCGCAGCUGGCUGCGGCAGGAGCCGCGUCUAGCCUUGAGCAUGCAGCGGGGACGAGAGAGACAUCGGUUUUGCCCUUAUAGCGCUUACAAACUAGUAGGGGAGACCGACACUAAACAGCUAGUUGCAUAACUAAUUAUGUCAUUAAAAUUGGGCUAAGGGUAGCGGUUCUCACUCUCGCCGCCACCCUGGAGCUGGGGCCCUGCUUCCCCUCCGAAGCUCGGGAGGAGGCCGGGCAGCCCUUCCACAGGCUCCCUGUGCCCUGCAGCAGGAAAUCUCAAAAAGGCAUCGUGUCCCUGAGGGGCACGGACCCCUGAGGUUGCAGGCUCUUGCAAACAGCCCAGAUUGACCUGCCGUUUCGGCCGGUCCGCUCCAGGCUGAGGCCCUGUCUUCUGCCAGUCUCCACCCGAGGGCUCUGAUGGCAGAAGCCUGGGGCAGUGGACCUUUGUCCCAGCCACUGUGUGACAUCUGCCCAGUCACUUCACCUCUCUGAAGCUCAGCUGCAUCAGCUGUAAGAUGAGGUGAACAGCCCAUGCUUGUCAUGAGGGUUUUAUGAGAUACAUCCUGAUGCCUGGCACACAGUAAGUGCUCAAUCAAUGCUCAUUCCCUUCCCCUGUGUGGGGUCCAUGGCGAUACCAAGCUCAGGCCUCCCUUAGAAUGGCUAGCUCUGAGCUGUCCACUGUGGUUGUCAUGAGUGACACGGAGCCACUUAGCACUGGGGAGGUGGCCGGUCCCAACUGAGAUGUACCUUACGUAUAAAAUGCACAACCAGAUUUUGAUGACUUGGGAUGCACAAGGGAAUGCAAACUCUCCCAUUAGUAAUGUUUUACACUGAUUAUGUG